rnacentral:tRNA from 1 species
GGGGUUGUGGCUCAGUGGUAGAGUGCUUACCUAGCAUGUGUGAGGCACUGGGUUCAAUUCUCAGCACCACA